AUGUUUCUACUUCCAGGAGUUUGGAGUGAGAUCAAACUGGAGCAGUCUCCCUCUGAGGGGAAGAGACCUGGAGAGACAGUGAAGAUGUCAUGCAUCAUAUCUGGUUUUGACAUGACGAGCACAUAUAUCCACUGGAUACGACAGAGGUCAGGGAAAGCUCUGGAGUGGAUUGGGAGGAUGGAUUCAGGCAAAAACUCUGCUAGCUACGGCAGCUCCUUUCAAAGCCGUUUCAUCAUGACUGAAGAUGUUCCCAGCAGCACUCAGUACCUCGAGGUCAAGAGCCUGACAGCAGAAGAUUCUGCUGUUUACUUCUGUGCUCGAGAGACACAGUGA